GCCGAGCCAUGUAACGUUGGCUUGUAACCAAGUGGGGCAUUAAAGUGGUUUGGAUGUUUGAUAAAUGGGCUUGAUAAUGCGGGUGCCGUUGGGCUUCUCUACUCUUGGCAGAAUGGUGCACGCCACAGCUCUACAUGAGCUGGUAGCAUUAAAAACCAUUGAUGGGGUUAAUGCUUGAGAGGCCCCAAAGUUGCGGGAAAUAACUAGUGGUCCAAAUGGCGCCACUAGCCCGCAAUCUCUUAGAGAGGAUUCCUCGGUUCUGAUUAAGCGUGCCUAUUAGGCCCAAUCUAACAUACAACCACUUUU
rnacentral:SRP_RNA from 1 species